rnacentral:rRNA from 1 species
CCUGGCGACCAUAGCGAGUUGGCCCCACCUGAUCCCAUCCCGAACUCAGAAGUGAAACGAUUUAGCGCCGAUGGUAGUGUGGGGUCUCCCCAUGUGAGAGUAGGUCAUUGCCAGGA